UACGUAGGGGGCUAGCGUUGUCCGGAAUCAUUGGGCGUAAAGCGCGCGUAGGCGGUCAGGUAAGUCCGGUGUGAAAGUCAAAGGCUCAACCUUUGAAUGCCGCUGGAUACUGCUUGACUUGAGUCCGGAAGGGGCGAGUGGAAUUCCUGGUGUAGCGGUGAAAUGCGCAGAUAUCAGGGAGGAACACCAAUGGCGAAGGCGGCUCUCUGGGACGGUACUGACGCUGAGACGCGAAAAGCGUGGGGAGCGAACAGG
rnacentral:rRNA from 1 species